rnacentral:misc_RNA from 1 species
UACGAAGGUGGCAAGCGUUGUGCGGAUUUACUGGGCGUAAAGAGACCGUAGGCGGAGGGGUAAGUCCUGUGUGAAAGCUCUCGGCUCAACCGAGAAAGGCCGCAGGAAACUGCCUCACUAGGGGACGGGAGAGGAGCGCGGAAUUCCUGGUGUAGCGGUGAAAUGCGUAGAGAUCGGGAGGAAGGCCGGUGGCGAAGGCGGCGCUCUGGAACGUACCUGACGCUGAGGGUCGAAAGCGGGGGGAGCAAACAGG